rnacentral:rRNA from 1 species
AUUGAACGCUGGCGGCAGGCCUAACACAUGCAAGUCGAGCGGAUGAAGGGAGCUUGCUCCUGGAUUCAGCGGCGGACGGGUGAGUAAUGCCUAGGAAUCUGCCUGGUAGUGGGGGAUAACGUCCGGAAACGGGCGCUAAUACCGCAUACGUCCUGAGGGAGAAAGUGGGGGAUCUUCGGACCUCACGCUAUCAGAUGAGCCUAGGUCGGAUUAGCUAGUUGGUGGGGUAAAGGCCUACCAAGGCGACGAUCCGUAACUGGUCUGAGAGGAUGAUCAGUCACACUGGAACUGAGGCACGGUCCAGACUCCUACGGGAGGCAGCAGUGGGGAAUAUUGGACAAUGGGCGAAAGCCUGAUCCAGCCAUGCCGCGUGUGUGAAGAAGGUCCUCGGAUUGUAAAGCACUUUAAGUUGGGAGGAAGGGCAGUAAGUUAAUACCUUGCUGUUUUGACGUUACCAACAGAAUAAGCACCGGCUAACUUCGUG